rnacentral:sRNA from 14 species
CCUGUGGAGUAUCAUAUCAAAUGUGAGUAGCUUCGGCAAAAGCAGAUACAAAGAAGCAGGAA